UUACAUUUAAGUGUACAGCAUUUAAAUUUUUGAAAUUUAAGGGUUAAUUUAAUUUAAAAAUGUA
rnacentral:tRNA from 1 species